UGUCGUAACAAGGUUUCCGUAGGUGAACCUGCGGAAGGAUCAUU
rnacentral:rRNA from 1 species